rnacentral:rRNA from 1 species
UGGGGAAUAUUGCACAAUGGGCGAAAGCCUGAUGCAGCAACGCCGCGUGAGUGAUGAAGGCCUUCGGGUUGUAAAGCUCUGUCUUCUGGGACGAUAAUGACGGUACCAGAGGAGGAAGCCACGGCUAACUACGUGCCCGCAGCCGCGGUAAUACGUAGGUGGCAAGCGUUGUCCGGAUUUACUGGGCGUAAAGGAUGCGUAGGCGGAUAUAUAAGUCAGAUGUGAAAUACCCGGGCUCAACGUGGGUGCUGCAUUUGAAACUGUAUAUCUAGAGUGCGGGAGAGGUAAGUGGAAUUCCUAGUGUAGCGGUGAAAUGCGUAGAGAUUAGGAAGAACACCAGUGGCUAAGGCGACUUACUGGACCGUAACUGACGCUGAGGCAUGAAAGCGUGGGGAGCAAACA